CUCCAGCCGGAGGGCAGCAGAGGGACCCGGGCAUCCGGGCGAGGUGUUGGGGAGGGCGGCGGGGCGCGCGGGCUCAGCGCGCGGGUGAAAUGUGGUCUAUAUUAGAGUAUCUAUAUAAAUAUAUAUUUCCCUGGUUCCUGUCCCUUUUCCCUGCCCCCAACCCCGCGUCUAGGAUUGUACCUUUCUAACCCCAGCCCAGCCCCAGCCCCUUCCCGAGUCCCUAGUGCAUGGAAUAAAAUGGUUAUUAAAUCCCGGUGUGUCCCGGAGCCGGGGGCCUGCCUUUAUAUCGGUGUCCACGCCCACUUUCCCUUCCCUUCUGUUUCCCACCCCCAGUCCUACUCUCCAAGGCCCAAGCUCCGGGGUAGACAGGUAAGUAAAGAAUAGAGCAGAGCGGAUACUGAGGUUGGAGCUGAGACCAAGACGAAAAUGCAGAUAGGGCAGGGGGGAAAGGUCGGACAGAGAGAAAAGAACAGACUUGAAAUAAAACCGACUCUGGUGGGAUUCGAACCCACAACCUUUGAAUCGCUCUUUCGUCACUAGAAGUCCAAUGCGCUAUCCAUUGCGCCACAGAGCCACCUGGCGGGCGGUGGCGUCUCGUAGCUUACGGGUAGUAGCAUGGGGGAAGGGGGCAGAAUGACAGUGUUGUUGACAGGAAAUUGGGCGGGGCGUGUUAGGAGCCUAUGGUUAGGAUCUCCGAAGCCAGCCGGGGAGGAGUAUGUUGCUCAAGCACGUGCGCCAGGUGGGAGUGAGGGCGCACAAGUGUUCCAGAAAUAGGGAGGGAAAGCAAACAAACAGGAGCGAGCAAACAAGUGCAGAGCUUCGGCUGCCCGCUUGGAAAGUGCUUCCAGCUCAGGUGCAGUCCAGUCCCACGUAGCCCCACUAAAUAAACUUGUUUUGCUA
rnacentral:tRNA from 1 species